UGCCAGCCGCCGCGGUAAUACGUAGGGUGCAAGCGUUAUCCGGAAUCAUUGGGCGUAAAGCGCGUGUAGGCGGUUCGUUAAGUCUGAUGUGAAAGCCCGGGGCUCAACCCCGGAAGUGCAUUGGAAACUGGCGAACUUGGGUACGGGAGAGGAAAGUGGAAUUCCGAGUGUAGGGGUGAAAUCCGUAGAUAUGCACAGGAACACCAAAAGCGAAGGCAGCAUACUGGACCAUUCCUGACACUCAGAGACGAAAGCGUAGGUAGCAAAACGGAUUAGAUA
rnacentral:rRNA from 1 species